rnacentral:rRNA from 1 species
ACAGAGGUCCCGAGCGUUGUUCGGAUUCACUGGGCGUAAAGGGUGCGUAGGUGGUGAGGUAAGUCGGAUGUGAAAUCUCGGAGCUCAACUCCGAAAUGGCAUUGGAAACUACCUUGCUCGAGGUUUGGAGGGGGGACUGGAAUACUUGGUGUAGCAGUGAAAUGCGUAGAUAUCAAGUGGAACACCAGUGGCGAAGGCGGGUCUCUGGGCAACAACUGACGCUGAGGAGCGAAAGCGUGGGGAGCAAACAGGA